rnacentral:misc_RNA from 1 species
GAUGAAGAACGUAGCGAAAUGCGAUAAGUAAUGUGAAUUGCAGAAUUCAGUGAAUCAUCGAAUCUUUGAACGCACAUUGCGCCCCCUGGUAUUCCGGGGGGCAUGCCUGUCCGAGCGUCAUUACAACCCUCAAGCUCAGCUUGGUGUUGGGCCCCGCCGCCCCGGCGGGCCCUAAAGUCAGUGGCGGUGCCGUCCGGCUCCGAGCGUAGUAAUUCUUCUCGCUCUGGAGGUCCGGUCGUGUGCUCGCCAGCAACCCCCAAUUUUUUAAGGUUGACCUCGGAUCAGGUAGGGAUACCCGCUGAACUUAACCAUAUCAAUAAGCGGAGGA